rnacentral:rRNA from 1 species
GAUGAACGCUGGCGGCGUGCUUAACACAUGCAAGUCGAACGGAAAGGCUCCUGCUUGCAGGGGUACUCGAGUGGCGAACGGGUGAGUAACACGUGGGUGAUCUGCCCUGCACUUCGGGAUAAGCCUGGGAAACUGGGUCUAAUACCGGAUAGGACGAUGGUUUGGAUGCCAUUGUGGAAAGUUUUUUCGGUGUGGGAUGAGCUCGCGGCCUAUCAGCUUGUUGGUGGGGUAAUGGCCUACCAAGGCGUCGACGGGUAGCCGGCCUGAGAGGGUGUACGGCCACAUUGGGACUGAGAUACGGCCGAGACUCCUACGGGAGGCAGCAGGGGGGAAUAUUGAACAAUGGGCGCAAGCCUGAUGCAGCGACGCCGCGUGGGGGAUGACGGCCUUCGGGUUGUAAACUCCUUUCGCUAGGGACGAAGCGCAAGUGACGGUACCUGGAGAAGAAGCACCGGCUAACUGCGUG